AUUGAACGCUGGCGGCAUGCUUUACACAUGCAAGUCGAACGGUAACAGGCCGCAAGGUGCUGACGAGUGGCGCACGGGUGAGUAAUGCAUCGGAACGUGCCCAGUCGUGGGGGAUAACUACUCGAAAGAGUAGCUAAUACCGCAUACGAUCUAUGGAUGAAAGCGGGGGACCGUAAGGCCCCGCGCGAUUGGAGCGGCCGAUGUCGGAUUAGGUAGUUGGUGGGGUAAAGGCUCACCAAGCCAACGAUCUGUAGCUGGUCUGAGAGGACGACCAGCCACACUGGGACUGAGACACGGCCCAGACUCCUACGGGAGGCAGCAGUGGGGAAUUUUGGACAAUGGGCGCAAGCCUGAUCCAGCAAUGCCGCGUGCAGGAAGAAGGCCUUCGGGUUGUAAACUGCUUUUGUACGGAACGAAACGGCUCUGGUUAAUACCCGGGGCUAAUGACGGUACCGUAAGAAUAAGCACCGGCUAACUACGUG
rnacentral:rRNA from 1 species